rnacentral:lncRNA from 1 species
AUGGUCAGGAUAAUAAACAGCCAUAACCCCCCAAACAUUGCUGAUGCCCCUCUCCUAGCUUCCACAGCAGUUGCUGAUCCGCCGUCACUUUGGAUGAGUUUUGCUUCUCUAGGAUUUUAUAUCAACAACAUAUUGUAUGUACUCUUACUUUUGGCCUGGUGUCUUUCACUCAGCAUCAUUAUUUUGAGAGUCACCCAUGUUGCAUAUGCAUUGUAUCAGUGGUUAUUUUCUUUCUUUCUUCUUUCUUCUUUCUUUCUUUCUUUCUUUCUUCUUCUUUCUUCUUUCUUCUUUCUUUUCUCUCUCUCUCUCUCUCUCUCUCUCUCUCUCUCUCUCUCUCUCUCUCUCUCUCUCUCUCUCUCUCUCUCUCUCUCUCUCUCUCCUUCCUUCCUUCCUUCCUUCCUUCCUUCCUUCCUUCCUUCUUUCUUUCUUCUUUCUUUCUUCUUUCUUCUUUCUUCUUUCUUUCUUUCUUCUUUCUUUCUUUCUUUCUUUUCUUUUUCUUUCUUUCUUUUCUUUCUUUCUUCUUUCUUUCUUUCUUUCUUUCUUUCUUUCUUUCUUUCUUUCUUCUUUCUUUCUUUUCUUUCUUUCUUUUCUUUUUCUUUCUUUCUUCUUUCUUUCUUUUCUUUCUUUCUUCUUUCUUUCUUUCUUUUCUUUCUUUCUUCUUUCUUUCUUUCUUUCUUUCUUUCUUUCUUUUCUUUUUCUUUUUCUUUCUUUCUUUCUUUCUUUCUUUCUUUCUUUUCUUUCUUUCUUUUCUUUUUCUUUCUUUCUUUCUUUCUUUCUUUCUUCUUUCUUUCUUUUCUUUUUCUUUUUCUUUCUUUCUUUCUUUCUUUUCUUUUCUCUCUCUCUCUCUCUCUCUCUCUCUCUCUCUCUCUCUCCUUCCUUCCUUCCUCCCUCCCUCCCUCCCUCCCUCCCUCCCUCCCUCCCUCCCUCCUUUCUUUCUUUCUUUCUUUCUUUCUUUCUUUCUUUCUUUCUUUCUUCUUUCUUCUUUCUUCUUUCUUUCUUUCUUUCUUUCUUUCUUUCUUUCUUUCUUUUUUACAUUUAUUUAUUUUGAGAGAGAUAUGA